CCCGCCCCACUAGGGCAGCCAAUGAAAAAGUCGGACAGGAACAGGGCCUCUUGCCAUUGGGGGAGCUGCGACUCUGCCCUUCAAAGUGAAUCUGGAGAUUCUACAGCA
rnacentral:snoRNA from 1 species